rnacentral:rRNA from 1 species
AUUGUGUGAAUACAUAGCACAUUCGAGGUAGACGCAGAGAACUGAAACAUCUAAGUACCUGCAGGAAGAGAAAGAAAAUUCGAUUCCCUGAGUAGCGGCGAGCGAAACGGGAAAAGCCCAAACCAGCAAGCUUGCUUGUUGGGGUUGUAGGACUCCAAUAUGGUAGUUCUUUCAGAUAGUCGAAUGACUUGGAAAAGUCAGUCAAAGAGGGUAAAAACCCCGUAGACGAAAUGUGGAAGACACCUAGGAGGAUCCUGAGUACGGCGGAACACGAGAAAUUCCGUCGGAAUCCGGGAGGACCAUCUCCCAAGGCUAAAUACUCCCUAGUGACCGAUAGUGAACCAGUACCGUGAGGGAAAGGUGAAAAGCACCCCGGAAGGGGAGUGAAAUAGAACCUGAAACCGUGUGCCUACAACAAGUCAAAGCCCGUUAAUGGGUGAUGGCGUGCCUUUUGUAGAAUGAACCGGCGAGUUACGAUUGCAUGCGAGGUUAAGUUGAAGAGACGGAGCCGCAGCGAAAGCGAGUCUGAAUAGGGCGUUUGAGUAUGUAGUCGUAGACCCGAAACCAUGUGAUCUACCCAUGUCCAGGUUGAAGGUGCGGUAAAACGCACUGGAGGACCGAACCCACGUACGUUGAAAAGUGCGGGGAUGAGGUGUGGGUAGCGGAGAAAUUCCAAACGAACUUGGAGAUAGCUGGUUCUCUCCGAAAUAGCUUUAGGGCUAGCCUCGGAAUUGAGAAUGAUGGAGGUAGAGCACUGUUUGGACUAGGGGCCCAUCUCGGGUUACCGAAUUCAGAUAAACUCCGAAUGCCAUUCAUUCAUAUCCGGGAGUCAGACUGUGAGUGAUAAGAUCCAUAGUCGAAAGGGAAACAGCCCAGACCACCAGCUAAGGUCCCAAAAUAUAUGUUAAGUGGAAAAGGAUGUGGGGUUGCACAGACAACUAGGAUGUUGGCUUAGAAGCAGCCACCAUUUAAAGAGUGCGUAAUAGCUC